rnacentral:rRNA from 1 species
GGGAAUCUACCGUGCCCUGCGGAAUAGCUCCGGGAAACUGGAAUUAAUACCGCAUACGCCCUACGGGGGAAAGAUUUAUCGGGGUAUGAUGAGCCCGCGUUGGAUUAGCUAGUUGGUGGGGUAAAGGCCUACCAAGGCGACGAUCCAUAGCUGGUCUGAGAGGAUGAUCAGCCACAUUGGGACUGAGACACGGCCCAAACUCCUACGGGAGGCAGCAGUGGGGAAUAUUGGACAAUGGGCGCAAGCCUGAUCCAGCCAUGCCGCGUGAGUGAUGAAGGCCUUAGGGUUGUAAAGCCCUUUCACCGGUGAAGAUAAUGACGGUAACCGGAGAAGAAGCCCCGGCUAACUUCGUGCCAGCAGCCGCGGUAAUACGAAGGGGGCUAGCGUUGUUCGGAAUUACUGGGCGUAAAGCGCACGUAGGCGGAUAUUUAAGUCAGGGGUGAAAUCCCAGAGCUCAACUCUGGAACUGCCUUUGAUACUGGGUAUCUUGAGUAUGGAAGAGGUAAGUGGAAUUGCGAGU